rnacentral:misc_RNA from 1 species
GAAAUGCGAUAAGUAAUGUGAAUUGCAGAAUUCAGUGAAUCAUCGAAUCUUUGAACGCACAUUGCGCCCUUUGGCAUUCCGAAGGGCAUGCCUGUUCGAGCGUCAUUACACCAAUCAAGCCUGGCUUGGUAUUGGGCGACGGGCGGUAACACGCCCCUGCCUCAGAGGCCUUUCCGGCGGGACGGACCGAAUCUCAGCGUUGUGCAAACAGUGUCGCUGGCGAGACGAGACGGCCGUGCCGUUAAACCCCCUUCUUCUAAAGGUUGACCUCGGAUCAGGUAGGGAUACCCGCUGAACUUAAGC